rnacentral:lncRNA from 1 species
ACAGCCUCCAUCUUCUGUGCUUAAGGAUCCUUCCCUCUCAACCUCCAAGGUAGCUGAGACUACAGGCAACAUUCGAAACCCAGGUGCCACUCCUUCAGGAAGGUACCAUCAAGCUCCAAGGACUCAUCCUCUUUCUCCUUCCCCACUACCUAGUCAUUAGAGCGUCAGCAUCCACUUCCUGAAAGGAAGAUGCCUGUUUUUCACAUAUCCCAGAAAGCCUCAUUUUAGGACAGCAUUUAGCAGAGUGUAUUCAGGAUCCCACUAACCUUUUCGGAAGACAUGACUUCCAGAUGAUAUAAGGCAAGAAUAAGAAAUUUCAGUGACAGGGAACAGAAAUCAUAUUUCUGCAUUCAGGAUCAUGUUUUCUUGGCUCCAUCAGGAACUGUGCAGGACUGUGCACUCUGUUGAUACUCACAUGGUGGAAUUAUAUUGCCCUUGGCCAACCCUAAAGCCAUCAAGAUAGCAGAAUUAAUGAAGGAUCAUUAUUAAGUUUUUAAUGGGUCAAGAGAAAGUUACCACUGAGGUCUUCUCUACCUGGGCAACAAUUGACUCCUAACAACCACUAUAAGCUUGGAAGAUGAUCCCUCCCCAGCUGAUCCUUCAGGUCAUGCAUGCACUUCCAAUUUAUACUAACCAUGGAUGGAAACAGCCUACACUUCAGAAAAAAAGUGCCACUCAAGUCUUUCACGAUGUACCCUAAGGAUCCACAGCAAUUACUUAUAAUCUGUGAUUCUAGUCAUUGACCCCAACAAGUCAUUUUGCAGAUAUAGGUGGGAUCCAUGGAUCAGAAAACUCAAAGCAGUCGGCUUAUGGCCAUGUGGUGUCUAAACAUCUGAAACUGAUUGCUGCCUACGAGGAAGUGCAAAUAAGCGGGAUCUGCAGCUGCCCAAGACAGGGGACCCAAAGGGAGAGAGCAGUGUGGCAAGCAAAAGGCAUGCUGAAGAGGCAGUGAGCCAAGGCUCAGACUUUGACAGUCCUCUGAUAUACUUUAUAUGUAAAUAGAUGGCUGAGUGUUCUGGCUGAUGAACAUGGGUUACUUAACCAGAGUUAAGCGAGGACUUUCUCACCUGAAACCACCAAGAGACACAAAAGCCAGAAAAGGACAGAAAUUAAUUCAAGGGUCAACAAAUAGAGUCGGCUUUCUUUAAGACCUGAAGUGUAGAAGUCUAGGUUGAACCCUAGGUUGAUUACGUUGAAGACUACAUUCUCCUGUGAAGCAAGCAUUCCUAAAGGGUCUCUACUUUUUGUAGCCUGGGGAUUUUCUACUCCCCCAACAGCCAGAUGAGGCAGAAACCCCUACAGACAUCCCUAUGUGCCUCCUGUGCAAGUGCAGUUGCCCCUUGAAGGCAGUUCUCCUGCUGCAGACCACGCCCACCAAGGGCAGAGUCACAGCCACUGCAGCUGAGCUCAGAGCCUUCUGUGGGGUCUGCAGGGGCAAGGCCAGCUGUCCCCUGGGAUAGUUUGAAGAAUGCAGUUUGUUUGUAUAAUAAAGAUGUUUCUCUACGUCAUUCAUCUUGCUAAUCAAGGACGUUUAACAGCUUCAGACUUUCCUGGUAAUAUUUGUUCUUGCCUUUUUUUGGCAAAUAUAGUUAACACUUCUAUGCAUUUUUUACCUCACAUAAACAUCAUCUAAAACCAUUC